rnacentral:rRNA from 1 species
CGCGUAGGCGGGAUGGCAAGUCGGUCGUGAAAUCCUUCGGCUCAACCGAAGAACGUCGAUCGAUACUGCUGUUCUUGAGGAUUGCAGAGGAGACUGGAAUUCCCGGUGUAGCGGUGAAAUGUGUAGAGAUCGGGAGGAACACCGGUGGCGAAGGCGGGUCUCUGGGCAAUUCCUGACGCUGAGGCGCGAAAGCGUGGGGAGCAAACGGGAUUAGAUACCCCGGUAGUCCACGCUGUAAACGAUGACGACUAGGUGUGGGGGGGUUCAGUCCCCUCCGUGCCGCAGCUAACGCAUUAAGUCGUCCGCCGGGGGAGUACGGCCGCAAGGUUGAA